rnacentral:piRNA from 1 species
GGCUUGACAACCGUCCAGAGGCGAGGCC